rnacentral:SRP_RNA from 1 species
CCGUACUAGGUGGGGAGUUAGUUGUGCCCUGUAACCUGAAACCAACUAUAUGCAGGACUGAAAGGUUGGCUUGAGGGAUGUCAUUGUGCAAAUAAUUAUCUGUUAUAGUUAGGUGUUGAUUUCAAGGUCUUAUGCAAUGAUCUGCCACGAACCAUGUCAGGUUCGGAAGAAAGCAGCAUUAAGUGGAUUAGAUUAUGUGCCAUAAGGAAGCUUUGGAUGAGUCUAAUUAUCUUAGAU